CCUACGGGGUGCAGCAGUGAGGAAUAUUGGUCAAUGGACGCAAGUCUGAACCAGCCAUGCAGCGUGCAGGAUGAAGGCUCUAUGAGUUGUAAACUGCUUUUGUACGAGGGUAAUAUAAGAUACGUGUAUCUGCUUGAAAGUAUCGCACGAAUAAGGAUAGUCUAACUCCGUGCCAGCAGCCGCGGGUAUACGGAGGAUUGAAGCGUAAUCCGGUUUUCUUGGGUUUAAAGGGUGCGUAGGCGGUUUUAUUAGUUAGAGGUGAAAAUUUGGGGCUCAACUCCUGACGUGCCACUAAUACUGUAUGACUAGAGAGUAGAUGCGGUAGGCGGAAUGUGUGGUGUAGCGGUGAAAUGCGUAGAGAUCAUACAGAACACCGAUUGCGAAGGCAGCUUACCAAACUAUAACUGACGUUGAGGCACGAAAGCGUGGGGAGCAAACAGGAUUAGAUACCCUUGUAGUC
rnacentral:rRNA from 1 species